rnacentral:tRNA from 1 species
AAUAUGUUAGCUUAUAUAGAGUAUUUUAAUUACAAUAAAAAGGAUAUAUCAUAUUU